UACGAAGGGGGCUAGCGUUGUUCGGAAUUACUGGGCGUAAAGGGCGCGUAGGCGGUGUGUCAAGUCAGGCGUGAAAGCCCCGGGCUCAACCUGGGAACCGCGCUUGAGACUGGCACGCUAGAGUUCGGGAGAGGAUGGUGGAAUUCCCAGUGUAGAGGUGAAAAUUUCGUAGAUAUUGGGAAGAACACCGAUGGCGAAGGCAGCCAUCUGGACCGACACUGACGCUGAGG
rnacentral:rRNA from 1 species